rnacentral:rRNA from 1 species
UACGUAGGGUGCGAGCGUUAAUCGGAAUUACUGGGCGUAAAGCGUGCGCAGGCGGUUUUGUAAGCCAGAUGUGAAAUCCCCCGGGCUUAACCUGGGAAUGGCAUUUGGGACUGCAAGGCUCGAGUGCGGCAGAGGAGACUGGAAUUCCUGGUGUAGCAGUGAAAUGCGUAGAUAUCAGGAGGAACACCGAUAGCGAAGGCAGCUUGCUACACAGUUAUUGACACUGAGGCACGAAAGCGCGGGGGAGCAAACAGG